CAGUCGCCACGGUAAUACGGAGGGUGCAAGCGUUAAUCGGAAUUACUGGGCGUAAAGCGCACGCAGGCGGUCUGUCAAGUCAGAUGUGAAAUCCCCGGGCUUAACCUGGGAACUGCAUUUGAAACUGGCAGACUAGAGUCUUGUAGAGGGGGGUAGAAUUCCAGGUGUAGCGGUGAAAUGCGUAGAGAUCUGGAGGAAUACCGGUGGCGAAGGCGGCCCCCUGGACAAAGACUGACGCUCAGGUGCGAAAGCGUGGGGAGCAAACAGGAUUAGAUACCCGUGUAGUCCCUGUCUCUUAUAC
rnacentral:rRNA from 1 species